rnacentral:rRNA from 1 species
UCCGGUUGAUCCUGCCGGAGGUCACUGCUAUUGGGAUUCGACUAAGCCAUGCGAGUCGAGAGGGUUCGGCCCUCGGCUGACGGCUCAGUAACACGUGGAUAAUCUGCCCUUAGGUGGAGGAUAAUCUCGGGAAACUGAGAAUAAUACUCCAUAGAUCUAGGAUGCUGGAAUGCAUCUAGAUUGAAAGCUCCGGCGCCUAAGGAUGAGUCUGCGGACUAUCAGGUUGUAGUCAGGGUAAAGACCUGACUAGCCUACGACGGAUACGGGUUGUGAGAGCAAUAACCCGGAGACGAUAUCUGAGACACGAUAUCGGGCCCUACGGGGCGCAGCAGGCGCGAAAACUUCACACUGUGCGAAAGCGCGAUGAGGGAAUCCCAAGUGUUUGCUCGUAAGAGUAAACUGUUUCUUUGUUUAAAACGCAGAGAGAGUAAGGGCUGGGUAAGACGGGUGCCAGCCGCCGCGGUAAUACCUGCAGCUCGAGUGGUGAUCAUUAUUAUUGGGCCUAAAACGUCCGUAGCCGGUUUAGUAAAUGCCUGGGUAAAUCGUGUAGCUUAACUAUACGACUUCCGGGUAGACUGCUAAACUUGAGACCGGGAGAGGCUAGAGGUACUCCUGGGGUAGAGGUGAAAUUCUGUAAUCCUAGGGGGACCACCAGUGGCGAAGGCGUCUAGCUAGAACGGGUCUGACGGUGAGGGACGAAGCCCUGGGGCACAAACCGGAUUAGAUACCCGGGUAGUCCAGGGUGUAAACGCUGCUUGCUUGAUGGUUAGUUGGGCUCCGAGCCCAACUAGUGUCGGAGAGAAGUUGUUAAGCAAGCUGCCUGGGAAGUACGGUCGCAAGGCUGAAACUUAAAGGAAUUGGCGGGGGAGCACAGCAACGGGUGGAGCGUGCGGGUUUAAUUGGAUUCAACGCCGGAAAUCGUCGA